GACGUAGGGCGCGAGCGUUGUCCGGAUUUAUUGGGCGUAAAGAGCUCGUAGGCGGCUUGUCGCGUCGACUGUGAAAACCCGCGGCUCAACUGCGGGCCUGCAGUCGAUACGGGCAGGCUAGAGUUCGGUAGGGGAGACUGGAAUUCCUGGUGUAGCGGUGAAAUGCGCGGAUAUCAGGAGGAACACCGGUGGCGAAGGCGGGUCUCUGGGCCGAUACUGGACGCUGAGGAGCGAAAGCGUGGGGAGCGAACAGG
rnacentral:rRNA from 1 species